rnacentral:rRNA from 1 species
AGCGAACGCCGGCGGCAGGCCUAACACAUGCAAGUCGAACGAAGUCUUCGGACUUAGUGGCGGACGGGUGAGUAACACGUGGGAACGUGCCUUUAGGUUCGGAAUAACUCAGGGAAACUUGUGCUAAUACCGAAUGUGCCCUUCGGGGGAAAGAUUUAUCGCCUUUAGAGCGGCCCGCGUCUGAUUAGCUAGUUGGUGAGGUAAAGGCUCACCAAGGCUACGAUCAGUAGCUGGUCUGAGAGGAUGACCAGCCACAUUGGGACUGAGACACGGCCCAAACUCCUACGGGAGGCAGCAGUGGGGAAUCUUGCGCAAUGGGCGAAAGCCUGACGCAGCCAUGCCGCGUGAAUGAUGAAGGUCUUAGGAUUGUAAAAUCCUUUCACCGGUGAAGAUAAUGACUGUAGCCGGAGAAGAAGCCCCGGCUAACUUCGUGCCAGCCGCCGCCGUAACAC